rnacentral:rRNA from 1 species
GCUACAGGCUUAACACAUGCAAGUCGAGGGGCAGCAUGGUCUUAGCUUGCUAAGGCCGAUGGCGACCGGCGCACGGGUGAGUAACACGUAUCCAACCUGCCGUCUACUCUUGGACAGCCUUCUGAAAGGAAGAUUAAUACAAGAUGGCAUCAUGAGUCCACAUGUUCACAUGAUUAAAGGUAUUCCGGUAGACGAUGGGGAUGCGUUCCAUUAGAUAGUAGGCGGGGUAACGGCCCACCUAGUCUUCGAUGGAUAGGGGUUCUGAGAGGAAGGUCCCCCACAUUGGAACUGAGACACGGUCCAAACUCCUACGGGAGGCAGCAGUGAGGAAUAUUGGUCAAUGGGCGAGAGCCUGAACCAGCCAAGUAGCGUGAAGGAUGACUGCCCUAUGGGUUGUAAACUUCUUUUAUAAAGGAAUAAAGUCGGGUAUGCAUACCCGUUUGCAUGUACUUUAUGAAUAAGGAUCGGCUAACUCCGUGCCAGCAGCCGCGGUAAUACGGAGGAUCCGAGCGUUAUCCGGAUUUAUUGGGUUUAAAGGGAGCGUAGAUGGAUGUUUAAGUCAGUUGUGAAAGUUUGCGGCUCAACCGUAAAAUUGCAGUUGAUACUGGAUAUCUUGAGUGCAGUUGAGGCAGGCGGAAUUCGUGGUGUAGCGGUGAAAUGCUUAGAUAUCACGAAGAACUCCGAUUGCGAAGGCAGCCUGCUAAGCUGCAACUGACAUUGAGGCUCGAAAGUGUGGGUAUCAAACAGGAUUAGAUACCCUGGUAGUCCACACGGUAAACGAUGAAUACUCGCUGUUUGCGAUAUACAGCAAGCGGCCAAGCGAAAGCGUUAAGUAUUCCACCUGGGGAGUACGCCGGCAAUGGUGAAACUCAAAGGAAUUGACGGGGGCCCGCACAAGCGGAGGAACAUGUGGUUUAAUUCGAUGAUACGCGAGGAACCUUACCCGGGCUUAAAUUGCAGAUGAAUUACGGUGAAAGCCGUAAGCCGCAAGGCAUCUGUGAAGGUGCUGCAUGGUUGUCGUCAGCUCGUGCCGUGAGGUGUCGGCUUAAGUGCCAUAACGAGCGCAACCCUUGUUGUCAGUUACUAACAGGUCAUGCUGAGGACUCUGACAAGACUGCCAUCGUAAGAUGUGAGGAAGGUGGGGAUGACGUCAAAUCAGCACGGCCCUUACGUCCGGGGCUACACACGUGUUACAAUGGGGGGUACAGAGGGCCGCUACCACGCGAGUGGAUGCCAAUCCCAAAAACCUCUCUCAGUUCGGACUGGAGUCUGCAACCCGACUCCACGAAGCUGGAUUCGCUAGUAAUCGCGCAUCAGCCACGGCGCGGUGAAUACGUUCCCGGGCCUUGUACACGCCGCCCGUCAAGCCAUGGGAGCCGGGGGUACCUGAAGUGCGUAACCGCGAGGAGCGCCCUAGGGUAAAACUGGUGACUGGGGCUAAGUCAUAACA